CCUACGGGGGGCAGCAGUGGGGAAUAUUGGACAAUGGGGGCAACCCUGAUCCAGCCAUGCCGCGUGUGUGAAGAAGGCCCUCGGGUUGUAAAGCACUUUCAGUGAGGAAGAACGCCUGGUGGUUAAUACCCAUCAGGAAAGACAUCACUCACAGAAGAAGCACCGGCUAACUCCGUGCCAGCAGCCGCGGUAAUACGGAGGGUGCGAGCGUUAAUCGGAAUUACUGGGCGUAAAGCGCGCGUAGGUGGCUUGAUAAGCCGGUUGUGAAAGCCCCGGGCUCAACCUGGGAACGGCAUCCGGAACUGUCAAGCUAGAGUGCAGGAGAGGAAGGUAGAAUUCCCGGUGUAGCGGUGAAAUGCGUAGAGAUCGGGAGGAAUACCAGUGGCGAAGGCGGCCUUCUGGACUGACACUGACACUGAGGUGCGAAAGCGUGGGUGGCAAACAGGAUUAGAUACCCCAGUAGUC
rnacentral:rRNA from 1 species